GGCUGCUUCUCGCCUCUGUCCAGCUGUGUGACCUGGGACAAGUCUCUUGGUCACACAGCUGGACAGAGGCGAGAAACAGCC
rnacentral:pre_miRNA from 2 species